AGUGAACGCUGGCGGUAGGCCUAACACAUGCAAGUCGAACGGCAGCACAGUAAGAGCUUGCUCUUACGGGUGGCGAGUGGCGGACGGGUGAGGAAUACAUCGGAAUCUACUUUUUCGUGGGGGAUAACGUAGGGAAACUUACGCUAAUACCGCAUACGACCUACGGGUGAAAGCAGGGGAUCUUCGGACCUUGCGCGAUUGAAUGAGCCGAUGUCGGAUUAGCUAGUUGGCGGGGGAAAGGCCCACCAAGGCGACGAUCCGUAGCUGGUCUGAGAGGAUGAUCAGCCACACUGGAACUGAGACACGGUCCAGACUCCUACGGGGGGCAGCAGUGGGGAAUAUUGGGCAAUGGGCGCAAGCCUGAUCCAGCCAUACCGCGUGGGUGAAGAAGGCCUUCGGGUUGUAAAGCCCUUUUGGUGGGAAAGAAAAGCAGCAGGUUAAUACCCCGCUGUUCUGACGGUACCCAAAGAAUAAGCACCGGCUAACUUCGUG
rnacentral:rRNA from 1 species